UCAUCGGGACCGACAAACAUCUCGAGUUUUCUUUCGCUCCUUCUGGUUCGCGCUUGUUUGUUUAUUUGUUUGUUUUCUAACGUCACCGUGACCCGAGCAACAACAAACUGAACACGAGGCUGUUUUAGUUCCACGGCGCGUGGAACCAGAACCGGGAUCAGAGCCAGGACCCAAACAGAUCCGGGUCUCAGCAUCAUGAGUCUCCAGCCCCGGAGGAUCCGUCUGAAGCCCUGGUUGCUGGCUCAGGUGAACAGCGGCAGGUAUCCGGGUCUGCAGUGGCUCGGUCCGGACCAGCGCCUCUUCCAGAUCCCGUGGAAACAUGCCACGCGACACAUGCCAGUACCAGAAGAGGAGAACACCAUCUUUAAGGCGUGGGCCAUGGAGACGGGAAAGUACCAGGAGGGCGUGGAUGAGCCCGACCCAGCCAAGUGGAAGGCUAACCUUCGCUGUGCCUUGAACAAGAGCCGCGAGUUCCAGCUAAAGUACGACGGAACCAAAGAGAACCCAGUCCAGCCCUACAAGAUCUAUGAGGUCUGCGAGCAGCCCGGGAUCACAGAUGGUGUUGGCGAUGAUGAUGAUGAUGAGAUGCCAAACCUGAUGGACCUCACCAUCAACCCACGGACCAGCGACCCGCCCUCCUUCCCUACCUUCAGUCUGUCCUCCAGCCGGACGUUCGAACCCCCUCAUGUGAUCCCGAUGUCGCUGCUCCCCAUGACCUCUGACCCCCGGUUUCAGGUGGGGGAUCAGGGAAACUUCGUCCCAAACAGACUCAAGGACCUUGACUCGCUGUCCUCCACAGCUGCCUCUGCUCACCCAGUACUGGACCCGAUGGAGACCAGCAGCACAGGGGCAGUCCAAAACCAGGGUGACCAUCAGAACCACCAAGCCUGCAAAUACGACCUGCUGAGCAGCGUCCCAUUAACAGAUCUGGACCUGAAGUUUCAGUACCGGGGCCGGACCGUGGGCUCGCUAACAGUCAGUAACCCUCAGGGCUGCCGGCUGUACUACGGGCACCUGGAACCGACCCCGGAGCAGGUGGACCUUUUCGGGCCUGUCAGUCUGCAACAGGUCCGGUUUCCAGGCUCAUCUGAGAUCCAAAACCAGAAGCAGAGGUUCUACACAGAGGCCCUGCUGGACGUGAUGGAUCGAGGCCUGAUACUAGAGAUUGUAGAGCAGGACAUCUACGCUGUCCGGCUGUGUCAGUGUAAGGUGUUCUGGUCCGGACCUGGAAUGCCCGAACAAGGACUGCCCAACCCAAUGGAGAGAGAGAGAAAGAUCAAAGUGUUCAGCCUUAACAACUUCCUGGAAGGACUGAUCCAGUUCCAGAAAGGUGAAGUCCAGAACCCACCCCCCUUCGAGGUCUACUUCUGCUUCGGAGAAGAUUGGCCCGACAGGAAAUCCAAAGAGAAGAAACUCAUCAUGGUCCAGGUUGUUCCUGUGGUGGCCCGGAUUCUGACGGAGAUGUUCUCUGGAGAACUGAACUGGUCCACCGACAGCAUCCGGCUGCAGAUCUCCAACCCAGAUGUCAAGGACCAGACGGUGGAGCAGUUUAAAGAGCUGCAGAGGCUCCUCCAGAACCAGCACAUCCAGGGUCCCUGGGCCUCCCCAGUACCAUGAGCAGGAUUCUCACAGAGACCCAGAACAGGAUCAGGACCGAAACCAGGACCAACCCUGUGCUGCAGAAUGAACCUGGAUCAACAGAACCUGAGUGAUCAGAAAACAUUAGAACAACUAGAGUUAAGUUUUAUUUGCCUACUUAUCCCGUCUCCACCACGUCUCCAACACGUCUUUAACACGUCUCCACCACGUCUCCAACACAUCACCAACACGUCACCAACACAUCUUUAACAUGUCUCCAACAUGUCUGCCACUCUUCUCCAGCAUGUCUUCAACAUGUCUCCACAUCUGCAGUACGUCUCCAACACACCUUCAACACGUCACCAAUACGUCUCUAACACGUCUCCACCACGUCUCCAACACAUCACCAACACGUCACCAACACGUCUUUAACAUGUCUCCAACAUGUCUGCCACUCUUCUCCAGCAUGUCUUCAACAUGUCUCCACAUCUGCAACACAUCUCCAGCAUGUCUCUAACACGUCUUCAACACUUCUCCACACCUCCAACACGUCUCCAACACAUCUUUAACACUUCUCCAAUGCAUCUUCAACAUGCAUUCAACAUGUUUUUAACACUUCUCCACAUCUGCAACAUGUCUUCAACAUGUCUCCAACACGUCUUCAACAUGUCUUCACAUCUGCAACACGUUUCCAACACGUCUUAAACAUGUCUUCAACAUGUCUUUAACACGUCUCCAACACGUCUUCAACACGUCUCCAACACAUCUUCAACAUGUCUCCAACACGUCUUCAACACGUCUCCACAUCUGCAACACGUCUCCAACACAUCUUUAACACGUCUCCAACACAUCUUUAACACGUCUCCAACACGUCUUUAACAUGUCUCCAGAUCUGCAACACGUCUCCAACACAUCUCCAACACGCCACCAACACAUCUCCAACACGUCUCCAACACAACUUUAACAUGUCUCCACAUCUGCAACACGUCUCCAGCGAGUCUUCAACACGUCUCCACAUCU